rnacentral:rRNA from 1 species
UACGUAGGGUGCAAGCGUUGUCCGGAAUUAUUGGGCGUAAAGAGCGCGUAGGCGGUCUGUCGCGUCGGAUGUGAAAAUCCAGGGCUCAACCCUGGACCUGCAUUCGAUACGGGCAGACUAGAGUUCGGCAGGGGAGACUGGAAUUCCUGGUGUAGCGGUGAAAUGCGCAGAUAUCAGGAGGAACACCAAUGGCGAAGGCAGCUCUCUGGGACGGUACUGACGCUGAGACGCGAAAGCGUGGGGAGCGAACAGG